rnacentral:rRNA from 1 species
GACGAGCGCUGGCGGCGUGCUUAACACAUGCAAGUCGAACGGAAAGGCCCUGCUUUUGUGGGGUGCUCGAGUGGCGAACGGGUGAGUAACACGUGAGUAACCUGCCCUUUACUUUGGGAUAACUUCAGGAAACUGGGGCUAAUACCGGAUAGUAGCUCCUGCUGCAUGGUGUGGGUUGGAAAGUUUCGGCGGUUGGGGAUGGACUCGCGGCUUAUCAGCUUGUUGGUGGGGUAGUGGCUUACCAAGGCUUUGACGGGUAGCCGGCCUGAGAGGGUGACCGGCAACAUUGGGACUGAGAUACGGCCCAGACUCCUACGGGAGGCAGCAGUGGGGAAUAUUGCACAAUGGGCGGAAGCCUGAUGCAGCAACGCCGCGUGCGGGAUGACGGCCUUCGGGUUGUAAAAAGAUUUCGCCUGUGACGAAGAGUGAGUGACGGUAAUGGGUAAAGAAGCACCGGCUAACUACGUG